AUGGCAUCAACAGGAUCUAACGAUUUUUUGGCGGGUGCAAAGGGAGCAGCAGCUUCAGCACAGAAAACUAUAGGGGAACAAGCUGGGAAUGUGGCCACUGCUGCUGGAGGUGUUCAGAAGACAGUGGGAGAGUACGUUGGCAAGGCUGUUGAUUAUGUUAAUCCCCCCAAACCAGAACCUAAACCAGAAGGUGUGUUUGCUGGUGUUACUAAGGCUGCCGGAGACUUGUUUAAGAAAUGA